UACAAGACUUCGGUCAAGUUGAACGGAUGACUUAGUGGCGGACGGGUGAGUAACGCGUGAGGAACCUGCCUCAAAGAGGGGGACAACAGUUGGAAACGACUGCUAAUACCGCAUAAGCCCACGGUACCACAUGGUACAGUGAGAAAAGGAGAAAUCCGCUGAAAGAUGGCCUCGCGUCUGAUUAGCUGGUUGGCGGGGUAACGGCCCACCAAGGCGACGAUCAGUAGCCGGACUGAGAGGUCGAACGGCCACAUUGGGACUGAGACACGGCCCAGACUCC
rnacentral:rRNA from 1 species